rnacentral:rRNA from 1 species
GACGAACGAGGGAGGAGGGAAGAACACAGGCAAGUCGAACGGAAAGGCCCUGCUUUUGUGGGGUGCUCGAGUGGCGAACGGGUGAGUAACACGUGAGUAACCUGCCCUUGACUUUGGGAUAACUUCAGGAAACUGGGGCUAAUACCGGAUAGGAGCUCCUGCUGCAUGGUGGGGGUUGGAAAGUUUCGGCGGUUGGGGAUGGACUCGCGGCUUAUCAGCUUGUUGGUGGGGUAGUGGCUUACCAAGGCUUUGACGGGUAGCCGGCCUGAGAGGGUGACCGGCCACAUUGGGACUGAGAUACGGCCCAGACUCCUACGGGAGGCAGCAGUGGGGAAUAUUGCACAAUGGGCGGAAGCCUGAUGCAGCAACGCCGCGUGCGGGAUGACGGCCUUCGGGUUGUAAACCGCUUUCGCCUGUGACGAAGCGUGAGUGACGGUAAUGGGUAAAGAAGCACCGGCUAACUACGUG